rnacentral:rRNA from 1 species
GACGAACGCUGGCGGCGUGCUUAACACAUGCAAGUCGAGCGGUAAGGCCCUUUCGGGGGUACACGAGCGGCGAACGGGUGAGUAACACGUGGGUGACCUGCCCUCAGCUCUGGGAUAAGCCCGGGAAACUGGGUCUAAUACCGGAUAUGACUUCAUGACGCAUGUUGUGGAGUGGAAAGCCUUGUGCGGCUGAGGAUGGGCCCGCGGCCUAUCAGCUUGUUGGUGGGGGAUGGCCUACCAAGGCGACGACGGGUAGCCGGCCUGAGAGGGCGACCGGCCACACUGGGACUGAGAUACGGCCCAGACUCCUACGGGAGGCAGCAGUGGGAAUAUUGCGCAAUGGGCGGAAGCCUGACGCAGCGACGCCGCGU